rnacentral:rRNA from 1 species
AUGUUCUAUAGUCUCUAUUGUGCAGGCGGGUCUACUCUCCCUCUUGAGGCAAGUGUGGAUGUAAUGGAUAUUGAUUGUGGUUGUUCGGACAAAAAUAUUGCGUGGAAACAUUAUAUACUGAUGGAUUUAAUUAGUCAUGGGCUGGACGGGAAGGUGAUGCCUGCGAUGGCGACCAAGCCGGCGGGCAGGGCAGGGGCGACUGUGGCCAUUGUGGUGUUUUCAAGGGAGAGCGGGGCAACUGCAAUCACGCAACUGAAGAAGUCGAAACCCGGGGCGAAGUUGGCGAACAUGAAAGCUGACAAACCUAAAUGCCGGUGA